rnacentral:lncRNA from 1 species
UCGGCCUUACUUAGGGAUGCAAGAAAAUGAAAAGGAUCAAGUUGUAAUAAUAUUGUUAAAGCUAGAUUGUAUUUGGAAGCUAAAAAAAAUGUAUUAUGUAAUUGUGAUGUAAAAUGAAUCUAAUGUGAAUGUUUGUAAUAACAUAGGAUGUGUUAUAUUGUUAAUAUCUUUCUUCUGCAAUUUUGUUUGAAUACUGUUCCUGGUUGGAACUCAUUAUACUUGUAUUGAUUGCUAUGCCUUGAACGUACAGGGGAGACUCUGUCCGCAGUACAGGAAAAAUCCUGUCCGUUCGGCGGUCUGUUGCGGCGCCGCGACCCGGCCAAAUAGGCGGGUGGUCACGGGGCGUGACACUAGGGUUACUAUCCUCUUAAGAGGAUAGUAGCACUUGUCCUCUCAAGUGGUUCUUGAUGAUAGAGAUUCUGAAUCGAUGAUCGAAGCCGUUGAAGUUGAUCUAGAAGUUGAAAUAUCUAGAAACUAAGUUUCAUACAUUUUAAAAAUUAUUUACAUGGUGAUCAAAGUGUCGUAAAAUCGACAAUUUUUGACGGCCUAUAUGAGCCGUUUGCUUGUUUAACGGUGUAGAGCAAUCCAAAUUGCUUGAAGUUUUGAUAGAAAAUUCUUUAUAGUAUUUAGAUAAUGUUUGAUAACUUUGAUUAUGAAUUAAGAAAGUUUAACCUCUAUUUUAAGAAGGUUAAUUAUUCAUUUAUGACCGUUCAUUUUUGAACUCUUCGAUGAACUUGUUAAUGAUUUGUAAAUAUUACAAAAUUUUGUUUCUAAACAUUUCGAAUUGUGUAGAUCAAUUUCAACAGUGCCAAUUAUCAAUUUGAAGUUCCGAUCGUUCAAAACGACUUGAUAGGACAAUGUCCUCAAUCCUACUAAUAGGAUAGUAGAUGGACUCUAUAAAUAUAUAUAUACAUAUAUAUAUCUAUUAAUAGGAUAGUAGAUGGACUCUCUCUCUCUCUCUCUCUCUCUCUCUCUCUCUCUCUCUCUCUCUCUAUAUAUAUAUAUAUAUAUAUAUAUAGUAGGGUUACUAUAUUCUUAUGAGUAUAGAAUCCUUCGUACUCAUAAGUCGUUUUCAAUGAUGGAGCUUCCGAAUCGACGAUCCAUCCGUUAAAUAUGAUCUAGAGUAUUUGAAAUUUCUAGAAAAUAAAUUUCGUAACUUUUCGAAAUCAUAAUAAAGUUCAUCAAGCGGGUAUAAAAUAAACGGUCAAAAUUGAACGACGUCUUAAAAAUGGAUGAUUGGAUCCUUCAAUUUAAGAUUGGAGUUAUUAAUCUUUAUUUAGAUUGUGAAUAAAAUUUUCUAUCAAAAAUUCAACCUAUUCCGAUUCUUUUUCACCGUUAAACUAGCAAAUAUCUCAUACCGGCUGUUAAAAAUUGUCAAUUUUGUGAGCUUUUGAUCAUAAGAUAAAUGAUAUUGAAAUAUUAUAAAAUUUAAUUUCUAAAAGUUUUAAAUGCUCUAGAUAAUGUUUAACGGUAUAGAUCGUUAAUUCGAAAGCUCUAUCAUCAAAAACAACUUAUGAGUACGAUGGCGAUCGUACUCAUAAGAGUAUAGUAGCCGGACUCUAUAUAUAUAUAUAUAAAAUAUAAUAUAAUAUAAUAUUUGAGAAGUAGUUACACUCAAGAAUUUAAGAGGGUUAAGUAUGAUAGGGCCAGAGUAGUUUUAGAAUAUGUAAUCCCUUAGAAAGCAGGG